GUGAUUUUCUAAUUGCAAGAACUGAGGCCGUGUUUGCUCUCCUACGUAUACACAGGCCACUAAAUAACUGGCCUUUUUUGUUUUAGAUUAAAGAAGACAUGAUUUCUGCAAAUUGUAGGGGUCUCACAAAACAAAAAAAUUGAAGCCCAGUUAAGCAAAUGAGAUCUACAAAUAAGCUUUGUGGUUAAAAUGAAGCUAGUUAGUCUAUAAUUUGCAUUACUGGAAACUGUCAAAGACACUAAAGAAGAUUUACAAGUACUCAAGGUUUCUAAGAACCAAAAUUCUGUAGACUAUUAGUCCCUAUAUGCUUUUAUAUAAAAUAAAUAUAAUAGAGUGAAAGAAAAAGGUUGAACUUAAUUACUUAUUGUUCUUUUUGCAAAGAAUAACUCAUUCAUAGAGAAAAUAUACGUGCCCGUUUAAUUUUGCAAAGAAUUCUUCAAAUUGACUUUAGCCAUAUUACUUCAUCAAAAUUCACCUCUCAAAAUGUUGGAUUUUGGUUGUUCUUGUGGGUUUUGUUGUUCCCCCGACAGAGAGAAGGCGAGAGUAAAAAGAAAGACUGAGAAGAGAACAGGGAAAGAAGAGGAAGAAGAAGAAGAAGGUGAUGGGAAGCUCUCUGGGUUUUCUUUGAUCGCUGACCAAUGGAAGAAUCGUCUUCAGCUGACCAAGCCUGUUACUUAGCCUCCAUUGGUAUGGGGAGUUUGCGGAGCUGCUGCCUGUGGUGAUGGUGUGACAGAGUAAAAUCCUGAUCCUUCAAUAUAUCUGACAGCUGUUUAGGCGAAUGGAUUUCUUGAAAAUACUUAUGCUUCUCAACCUCUGAAGACAUCACCUUAAUCUCAUCGAUUCACCUGAUUUUCUAUCCUGUUGAAAAAAUGGGUAUGGCAAUAUCUAGGAUGGUGAAGAUGCUGUUUGCAAGGAAAGAAAUGAGAACACUAAUGGUGGGUCUUGAUGCUGCUGGUAAAACCGCCAUCCUCUACAAGCUUAAAGUUGCACAAUUGACAAUUGCAGAGUCUGUUGGCGAUUAGUUCUUUAAUUGAAAUGUGUCGAAGCAUAUUGAUUGUUAAUUUCCCUGCAAUCCAAGCUGCUAUCAUCACAUGCUGCAUAAGGUUGAUCGGACUUGAGGUCAGUUCCAACAUUUGAAGGGACCCUGGUGGAAGUAUUCCUUUCCUGUCCAAGAACAUGAGUUAUUAAGAAUGAAGGUUUGAUCAAUUAGAGUUCUGGCGAAAAUUGAGAGCUUCGAAGCCAUUCAGAAGCGGGAAGAAAUCAUUGAAGCUUCCUAUGGAGUCAUGAUUGCUUGGGUUGAUCUUGGAGUUGAAAUCCCACUCGAACAAGAUUUCAAUAGUCCAAGAGGAAAUAACUCAAGUGUAGGCAGCUAAACAAUGUUUUUGUAGCUUCUCAAUUACUUGAAUCAAUGAUUGAAUACCCAACCCCAACACACUUUGAGGUACCACUCUAAAUUGUACUAAUGAUACUGAUAACAGAGGAAGAUCAAGAAAUGUCCAGUCUACUUUUUUAUUGUUUCUACUUGAGUAGAAAAGAUCGCAAAGAAAAUAGAGACUCUGUUGUUCAUUUAUUCUUCUCUCAGUUUCCGAACAAUAAACGUUUGGAUUGAAUUA